GAAUGGACACACGAAAGUAUUUCUGUCUCUUUUAUAUCAAUAAAAAUUGAAUUAUAGGUGAAGAUGCCUAUAUAUUUUUAAAGGACAAAAAGACCCUAUUGAGCUUUAUUUCUUAUUAAUUAAAAAAGAAAUACCACAAAUUUUUAUUAAAAGGAGAUUCUGUUGGGGCGACAAAGGAACACAAAAAACUUCCAAAAAAAAAAAGAAAACACUUCUAUUCAAUGAUCCUUAAUAGCUAAAGAAACCAGCUACCAUAGGGAUAACAGGCUAAUCAUUUUAAAGAGUUCAUAUUGAUAAAAUGGGUUGGCACCUCGAUGUUGGCUUAGGGUAUCCUAUAAGUGCARAA
rnacentral:rRNA from 1 species